CUACGGGGCGCACCAGUGAGGAAUAUUGCACAAUGGGGGGAACCCUGAUGCAGCAACGCCGCGUGGAGGAUGACGCAUUUCGGUGUGUAAACUCCUUUUAUAUGUCAAGAAAAUGACGGUAGCAUAUGAAUAAGCACCGGCUAACUCCGUGCCAGCAGCCGCGGUAAUACGGAGGGUGCAAGCGUUACUCGGAAUUACUGGGCGUAAAGGACGCGUAGGCGGGUUGGAAAGUCAGGUGUGAAAUCCUACAGCUUAACUGUAGAACUGCACUUGAAACUUCUAAUCUAGAGUAUGGGAGGGGGAGAUGGAAUUCGUGGUGUAGGGGUAAAAUCCGUAGAUAUCACUAGGAAUACCUAAAGCGAAGGCGAUCUCCUGGAACAUUACUGACGCUAAGGCGUGAAAGCGUGGGGAGCAAACAGGAUUAGAUACCCGCGUAGUC
rnacentral:rRNA from 1 species